rnacentral:lncRNA from 1 species
GCAAGAUGUUACUCCGAGGAGUCUAACAUCGUGGUUUCAAUCGAAGAUAUUCCCCAGUAGUGCGAUACUGGAGGAGAUUUGUUUUUCCGUCGGACAGAGAUGGGAAAUAUUUUGCGAUCAGCGCAAUUCAAGCCGUGGUUACCGCUUGGAGUUUUGUUUCGCCGAAUGGUGAAGAUGUUACUCUGAGGAGUUUAGCAUCAAGACGUC